GACGACCGCUGGCGGCGUGCUUAACACAUGCAAGUCGAACGAAGUGGCGACCGGGUGAGUAACGCGUAAUCAACCUGCCCUUCAGAGGGGGACAACAGUUGGAAACGACUGCUAAUACCGCAUACUGCAGGAGGGGAUUGUGUCUGCUUAGCUAGUUGGAGGGGUAACGGCCCACCAAGGCGCUGCUCAGUAGCCGGUCUGAGAGGACGAACGGCCACAUUGUGAGUGAGACACGUCCCAGACUCCUACGGGAUGCAGCAGUGGGGAAUCUUCCGCAAUGUACGAAAGUAUGACGGAGAAACGCCGCGAGAGUGAUGACGUUCUUCGGGUUGGAAAGCUGUGUUAAACGGGACGCGGUACCGGAAUAGAGAGCCACGGCUAACUACGGAGCAGCCGCCGCGGUAAUAC
rnacentral:rRNA from 1 species